rnacentral:rRNA from 1 species
GUCUACGGCCAUGCCACCCUGAACAUGCCCGAUCUCAUCUGAUCUCGGAAGCUAAGCAGAGUCGGGCAUGUUUAGAUGGGAGAUCACCUAGGAAGACCAGGUGCUGUAGGUA